GGUAGCAUCCGCUUUGUAAUUGGCUGCCGCCUCGAUGGAUCGUAUGUGACGCAAAGCUAGCACGAGAGACUCGGCGCUCUGGCAACCGCGGCUGAUGGACUACGGGAGCGCGCCCCAGCGAGAACGGCCAGCUGUUCAUAUGCAUUCUGUGCUGUCAGCAACAUUCAACUUGAUUUUCUCAACUGAAAUAGAAACAUUAAAUAGAGGAAAAAUGCGUCAGGAACAUCAAAGAAAAUGUGGAAUAAUGGGCUGCUAAGCUAUUGGUUCCUGUAUGCCCUGUGAAGAUAUUUAUAUACCAUAAUCUGGUCACCUAAAGUCUUCUUUUUGGUAAGCUAAACAGCGAGAGCUUCUCACUAUGAGGCAUUUUCUUCAGCUCUUGAAUAAUUUGUAUAGCUCUUUUAUAGCCCCUCUCCAGUUUUUCAACGUUACUUUUAAAAUGCAGAUCUCAGAACUGGACACACUAUUCUAGUAUUGAUCUCACCAAUGCUGUAAUGAAGAAAAACCAUUUGUCUGCUCCUACUCACUAGUCCUGUGUUUAUGAAGCCAAGGAUCAUAUUAGCCCUUUUAGCCACAGCACUGCACUGGUAGCUCAUGAGUUGUUUGUGCACUAGGACCCCUCAUUUCUUUACAGAGUCACUGUUUUCCAGGACACCCCCUCCCCCCCCCCCCAUUCUUUAGGAAUGGCCUGCAUUCUUCAUUCCUAGCUGUAGGGCCUUGCAUUUGUAUUAAAAACACAUUUUAUUUGAAUGGGCCCAGCCUACCAAGGGAUCCAGAUCGCUGUGUAUGACUUGCCUUGUCCUCAUCACUGUUUACCACCCUGGCAAUCUUUAUGUCCAUCUGCAAAUUUAAUCAGCUUUGACUUUAUAUUUACUUCCAGAUCAUUGAUUAAACUAUUGAAUGAAAUAUUGGUGAAAGGUCUUGAAUUGACAGUUGAAGCCUUUGGUUUAUUCCCUGUGGCCAUAACAAUAGGAAAUAGGGGUACAGCACAGAACACGCAGCCCAGGGGGAGGAGACGCUAAAGUGGCUUUGAGUCACCUUUGCACCUUUACAAUCCUGGUCUGCUCCAAGGAGCCCAGUGUAACUUAGAGAGUCCUUUGGGCAUUUCUAAGUUAUAACAGCCUUUUUGGGCUGCCCUAUGGACUGUGGCACUGCCUGGAACCUUUACAACAUUGCAUACUGUGGCCCUGCCCCCAAUACGAUACUUCUGCCUCCAGCAUGACACUAUCCCAGGCCUUGCAAAGGGGAUUUUGAAGGGCAGCCUUAUGGCCAUCUUGUGCAGUACCUGCACCAGGGGAAUGCUCCCCUGGCAUGAACCAGGGCUUUUAGGAUCCCUUUAUGCCACUCCAGCCCUUUUACUCAGUGUAAAGGUGUCAGGGUGGGUGUGAGGAUAUUACAGUGUGAACGUAAGAGAACCUUACCUCUUCCUAAUCUGUCAUUUUGACUGUGCCCAAGAGAACUCUAAACCAGCACUUCUGUUCAUGCACUCCCAUAAACCGUCAUUUUGAUCUGUGCAGCAUCAUUGCACUGGGAAGUUCUUCCAUAGAUUCCAAGGCCAGUAUGAAUCACUGUGAUUAUCUAGAACUUCCCCCAAAUAAUUCCUAGAGCAGAUCAUUUUGGAAAAAUAUCCAAUCUUGAUUUUAAAAUUGUCAGUGAUGGAGAAUCCACUACAAUCCUUGAUAAACUGUUUCAAUUAUUAAUUACUCUCGCUGUUUAAAAUGGAUGCCUUAUUCCCAGUCUGAAUUUGUCUAGCGUCAACUUCCAGCCAUUGGAUUGUGUUAUACCUUUCUCUGCUAGUUUGAAGACCCCAAUUAUCAAAUAUUCAUUCCCCAUGUUGGUAUUUAUAAACUGUGUGCAAGUCAUCCCUUAAACUUCUCUUUGUUAAGCUAAAUAGAUCGAACUUCUUGAAUCUAUUAAUAUAAGGCAUAUUUUCUAAUCCUUUAAUCAUUCUCAUGACUCUUAAUGCUCUCCAAUUUAUCAACAUCUUUCUUGAAUUGUGGAUAUGAGAAUUGGACACAGUAUUCCAGCAGCAUUUGCAUCAGUGCCAAAUAGAGGUAAAAUAACCUCUCUAUUCCUACUUGAGAGUCUCCUGUUUAUACAUGUAAGGAUAACAUUAGCCCUUUUGACCACCGUGUCAAAUUUGGAGUUCAUUUUCAGCUGAUUAUCCACGUGUCCCCCAAGUUUUUUUCAGAGUCACUGCUUCCCAGAAUAGUGUCUUCCAUCAUGUAAGUAUGGCCUGCAUUCUUUGU